rnacentral:rRNA from 1 species
UACGGAGGGGGCGAGCGUUAUUCGGAAUUAUUGGGCGUAAAGGGCGCGUAGGCGGCUUCUUAAGUCAAAGGUGAAAUCCCUCGGCUCAACUGAGGAACUGCCUUUGAAACUGGGGAGCUUGAGUCCGGGAGGGGGUAGCGGAAUUCCCAGUGUAGCGGUGAAAUGCGUAGAUAUUGGGAGGAACACCAGUGGCGAAGGCGGCUACCUGGACCGGAACUGACGCUGAUGCGCGAAAGCGUGGGUAGCAACAGG